rnacentral:rRNA from 1 species
AAUGAACGCUGGCGGCGUGCCUAACACAUGCAAGUCGGAUGUGCCGCAAGGUGCAUGGCAGACGGGUGAGUAACGCGUGGGGAAUCUACCUCUUUGUGGGGAAUAACGCUCCGAAAGGAGUGGUAAUACCGCAUGAGAUCCAUGGCUGGGAUGCUGUGGAUGAAACCUGGGGAUCGCAAGACCUGGGGGCAAAGGAGAGGAUCCUGCGCCUGAUUAGCUAGUUGGUGAGGUAACGGCCCACCAAGGCAACGAUCAGUAGCCGGCCUGAGAGGGUGAUCGGGCCACACUGGAACUGAGACACGGGUCCAGACUCCUACGGGAGGCAGCAGUGGGGAAUAUUGGGGCAA